rnacentral:rRNA from 1 species
AUGGGAACGCGAAGAACCUUACCUAGACUUGACAUCUCCUGAAUAGUGUAGAGAUACAUGAAGCCCUUCGGGGCAGGAAGACAGGUGGUGCAUGGUUGUCGUCAGCUCGUGUCGUGAGAUGUUGGGUUAAGUCCCGCAACGAGCGCAACCCUUAUUACUAGUUGCUACCAUUAAGUUGAGCACUCUAGUGAGACUGCCCGGGUUAACCGGGAGGAAGGCGGGGAUGACGUCAAAUCAUCAUGCCCCUUAUGUCUAGGGCUACACACGUGCUACAAUGGUGGGAACAAAGAGAUGCAAUACCGCAAGGUGGAGCUAAACUCAAAACCCCAUCCCAGUUCGGAUUGUAGGCUGAAACUCGCCUACAUGAAGCUGGAGUUGCUAGUAAUCGCGAAUCAGAAUGUCGCGGUGAAUACGUUCCCGGGUCUUGUACACACCG